CCUUGAGAUACCCUCUGUGACUGAGAAUCUCCACUCAAAUGGCUUCUUCAGACCACCAUAUGAAUGACCACCACCACCAUCAUCAUCAUGACCAUGACCAUAACCAUGAGGACACAAAAGCGACAUCAUGGGUAGGAGCAGAUGGGAAAGUAUACCAUAGUCAUGAUGGGUUGGCUCCUCACUCUCAUGAACCUAUUUAUUCACCUGGCUACUUUAGCAGAAGGGCACCUCCACUUAAUGACAGGAAUUUCAGUGAAAGAGCCUUUACUAUUGGAAUUGGUGGCCCUGUUGGUACUGGGAAAACAGCUCUAAUGCUGGCAUUAUGUAAAAUCUUGAGGGAAAAAUACAGUCUUGCAGCAGUAACAAAUGAUAUAUUCACGAAAGAAGAUGGAGAGUUCUUAAUAAAACAUGGUGCAUUGCCGGAGGAAAGGAUUCGAGCAGUGGAGACAGGAGGAUGCCCACAUGCUGCUAUUAGGGAAGAUAUAAGCAUUAACCUUGGACCUCUUGAGGAGCUUUCUAAUUUGUACAAAGCAGAUAUACUACUCUGUGAAUCUGGUGGAGACAACCUAGCUGCCAACUUCAGUAGGGAACUUGCUGACUACAUAAUCUACAUAAUAGAUGUAUCUGCGGGUGACAAAAUUCCUCGAAAAGGAGGUCCCGGAAUUACACAAGCAGAUCUCCUUGUGAUAAAUAAGACCGACUUGGCACCAGCUGUGGGAGCAGAUUUGUCCGUCAUGGAGCGUGAUGCACUUCAGAUGCGGGAUGGUGGCCCUUUUGUUUUUGCUCAGGUGAAGCAUGGGGUUGGCGUAGAGGACAUAGUGAACCAUAUCUUACAAUCCUGGGAAGUUGCAACAGGCAAUAAGAAGCGCUAAUUGAAAACUUCACUUGAACAUUGUGGAUCUUUUGGCUUAUCCAGUGCUAUUAUAUAACAUUCAAUUUCCCUGUUUCUGGACUAAUAUAAUCUGUCUACUGAAUAAUGCUUGUUAUGUACAAGCACCUAGUAUUUAU
rnacentral:misc_RNA from 1 species